AUCUUCCUAUACCCGCCGUCCAUGGCAGCUUUAUGCCCUCCAUGGACGGUCGAUCGUUUAGUUUGCACGCGCUGUACAUCGCUUGAGGAGUACGAUUAUUAUUGCUGUGUUCGCGGUCACCGUCACCACCGGCGGUGUCCUCUCCUCGCCUCCUCCCUCCUCUCUUGUCCCUCUCCUAUCUCAAAUCCCCGUGCCCCAAACUUCCCUUUUUGUGUGCCCUAAACUAGCGAGUAUGGCCACUUUCCAACUCGCGAGAUCCGGCUUCUCGCCGGCGCUCCGCCUCUCGCCGCCCGCCCUGCGGCGGCCCUCGGGUCUGCUUGGCCCCGUCCGCAUCCGCUGCCGCCUCCCGGAGGACAAUGGCGGCGAACCCGACGGUUCAGGGUGGGAGGAGCCGCCGUAGUCGCUGUUCAUGAAGGAGCUGAGGCGGCGGGGGAUGACCCCGACGUCCCUAUUGGAGGACAGCGAAAGGGGGGCGCUUGGAAGGGGCCAGAGGGAGAUGGAAGCCAAGGAAGAUAGCGGCAACGGCGGCGGUGGCCGCAGGGAGCGGGGGAGCAGGAACGGGGUGGCCUCGGUGGAGCUCGAGAAGGGGAUGACGAGGCCGAGGGAGCGGUUCAUGUCGGUGAACAGCGAGGGAUUCGAGAUCGGUAUCCGUCGUCACCUCUUCCUCUGCUCUGCAAAUUCAAAUUGCAUUGUCAUCAAACUGUUGCUAUUUGAUCAUUCUCUUGCAAUCACCAGCUUUCACUUUGAUCACUCUUUUGGAUUCAGUGAGGAUCGAUCACAGAUUACCGAGGGUGCAGUGUUGGAAUCCCGAGGGACAUGUAGAGAAGAAGCCUAUAAAUAAGCGUUAUCCUUAAAUUGAGCAAAAUCCUUGGCCGAGUUGCUCUACAGAAUUAGCAAGAUGUGCAAUCAUGGAUUCAUCACUUGUAUUUGAAGAAAAAAGACUACUGCACAUUAAAGAGUGUUCCUGCAAGUCCAUCUGAUGCCAUGAUCACUAAAAUCAUUGAACAAGAAAGAUUACUAUGUUCUUGAGUUGCUAAGCCACUUACUCCUCUCUUGAUCAUUGAGAAUCCUUUACUUAUGGAUUCAACUCUUCAACAUCAGGAGAAGGGUGAAUCAGUGAAAGGCAGCUAACUGUAUAAUUAAACAUCUACAAUAAGUUUUUGUAUCAAAAGAUGCAUCGAGGUGAAGUAUUUAUAUAUACUAGCAGGAACGCUCGCUCUAGUUACUCUAGUUAUGGUUGAAUGACUGAUGGAACACUUGAGAUCUAAGGAGGUAAUCUAACAUGCAGAAUCCUCAGGCAUGUGGACAAUCUUGACAUCAAGUUAUCAAAGACUGCUGUUAUGAUGACAACAUACAAGCAUUCAUGCUCUGCUAAUCCAUGUCUUUCCUAUCUUAUCGUUAUCUCUCUCUCUCUCUCUCUCUCUCUCUCUCUCUCUCUCUUAUAAAGGGUUUACUUCCACGGGCAAAACUGCUCCUCACAAUUGGUGGAACAUUCUUUCUGGGGUUUUGGCCUUUGAUCCUGGUUACUGCUGGUGUUUUCGCAGCUCUGCAUACAUGUUUUGGCCCGAGUUUUGUGCAUGAUGCAAGCAAGUUGGCAGCUUCACCGCCUCCAUAUAUCGAUCCGUAUUCAUUCCUCGAAGAUGAGAGACUGCCGCACGCAGCAAACUAAGUGAUCCGAUGUUGAAGUCGCAUGCCAAAAACGAGUUUGUCUGCUAUGCCUGUAAACUUGUACUCAAUAUCUUGCCAUGGCAAUUCGUAGUAUGCUGCCUAUA